AGUAUAGCUCAAUUGGCAGAGCUACUGAUUUGUAAUCAGUGGGUUAUGGGUUCAAGUCCCUUUACU
rnacentral:tRNA from 1 species